UACAGAGGCCUCGAGCGUUCGGCGGAAUCACUGGGCUUAAAGCGUGUGUAGGCGGAUCGUUAAGUACCUUGUGAAAUCCCACGGCUCAACCGUGGAACUGCUUGGUAUACUGGCGAUCUUGUGCCACCUAGGGGCGAGCGGAACAGAUGGUGGAGCGGUGAAAUGCGUAGAUAUCAUCUGGAACGCCAAUGGUGAAAACAGCUCGCUGGGGGUGUGCAGACGCUGAGACACGAAAGCCAGGGGAGCGAACGGG
rnacentral:rRNA from 1 species